rnacentral:rRNA from 1 species
UUGGAGGGCAAGUCUGGUGCCAGCAGUCGCGGUAAUUCCAGCUCCAAUAGCGUAUAUUAAAGUUGUUGCAGUUAAAAAGCUCGUAGUUGAAUUUCGGGGUUAGUAGGUUGGUCAUGCCUCUGGUAUGUACUGGUCUCACUGAUUCCUCCUUCCUGAUGAGCCGUAAUGCCAUUAAUUUGGUGUUGCGGGGAAUUUGGACUGUUACUUUGAAAAAAUUAGAGUGUUUAAAGCAAGCUAACGCUUGAAUACAUUAGCAUGGAAUAAUGAAAUAGGACGUUCGAUCCUAUUUUGUUGGUUUCUAGGAUUGACGUAAUGAUUAAUAGGGAUAGUUGGGGGCAUUAGUAUUCAAUUGUCAGAGGUGAAAUUCUUGGAUUUAUUGAAGACUAACUACUGCGAAAGCAUUUGCCAAGGAUGUUUUCAUUAAUCAAGAACGAAAGUUAGGGGAUCGAAGACGAUCAGAUACCGUUGUAGUCUUAACCAUAAACUAUGCCGACUAGGGAUCGGAUGAUGUUAAUUUUUUAAUGACUCAUUCGGCGCCUUACGGGAAAC